GAUGAAGAACGUAGCGAAAUGCGAUAAGUAGUGUGAAUUGCAGAAUUCAGUGAAUCAUCGAAUCUUUGAACGCACAUUGCGCCCUUUGGUAUUCCGAGGGGCAUGCCUGUUCGAGCGUCAUUAUAACCCCUCAAGCUCAGCUUGGUAUUGGGGCCUGCCAUCCUGGCAGCCCUUAAAAUCAGUGGCGGUGCCAUCCGGCUCUAAGCGUAGUAACUCCUCUCGCUAUGGAGUCCUGGUGGAUGCUUGCCAUUAAUCUUUUAACUUCUAUGGUUGACCUCGGAUCAGGUAGGGAUACCCGCUGAACUUAAGCAUAUCAAUAAGCGGAGGA
rnacentral:misc_RNA from 1 species